rnacentral:rRNA from 1 species
UACGUAGGGCGCAAGCGUUAUCCGGAAUUAUUGGGCGUAAAGAGCUCGUAGGCGGUUUGUCGCGUCUGCCGUGAAAGUCCGGGGCUCAACUCCGGAUCUGCGGUGGGUACGGGCAGACUAGAGUGAUGUAGGGGAGACUGGAAUUCCUGGUGUAGCGGUGAAAUGCGCAGAUAUCAGGAGGAACACCGGUGGCGAAGGCGGUUCCCUGGGCAUGAUCUGACGCUGAGGAGCGAAAGUGUGGGGAGCGAACAGG